AAGAUGAACUAAAGAAAGAUAAACUCAAGAAAAAUUUAAAGAGAGGAAGAAGAUCCAAGAGAAAAUCAACCAUAAAUUUUGAAAUCAAAGUUUAAGGGUCAAGCGCAGGGACGAAUCAAGUACCAAAACACUGUGAUCAGGGCGUGACCAAGCUUAGAGGCGCCUGGAAUCAGUUUUUGACAGCCAACCCAUGUGCCUCUCGUGAAGGUUCCAAAUAUAUCUAGUGGUUAUGGCUAAGUGCUUUAGGUUCAAGUUUUGUUUUCCUGUUCAGUUAGACAAGUCUUUGUGUAUUUUGUAAAUAAGGCUAAGUCUCUUUUUGUCUAGUUAGAAUAUGUAUAUAUAUGAUGAUGUGUAUAUGUACAUAAAUAAAGUUAAAAAUUUUAUGUCUCAUAUA